GACGAACGCUGGCGGCGUGCCUAAUACAUGCAAGUAGAACGCUGAAGGAGGAGCUUGCUUCUCUGGAUGAGUUGCGAACGGGUGAGUAACGCGUAGGUAACCUGCCUGGUAGCGGGGGAUAACUAUUGGAAACGAUAGCUAAUACCGCAUAAGAGUAGAUGUUGCAUGACAUUUGCUUAAAAGGUGCAAUUGCAUCACUACCAGAUGGACCUGCGUUGUAUUAGCUAGUUGGUGAGGUAACGGCUCACCAAGGCAACGAUACAUAGCCGACCUGAGAGGGUGAUCGGCCACACUGGGACUGAGACACGGCCCAGACUCCUACGGGAGGCAGCAGUAGGGAAUCUUCGGCAAUGGACGGAAGUCUGACCGAGCAACGCCGCGUGAGUGAAGAAGGUUUUCGGAUCGUAAAGCUCUGUUGUAAGAGAAGAACGGGUGUGAGAGUGGAAAGUUCACACUGUGACGGUAUCUUACCAGAAAGGGACGGCUAACUACGU
rnacentral:rRNA from 1 species